CCGGCGGCCCCGGCGCGGCGGUUUCUGCUGCUGCUGGCGCAGGAGCACCUCGAGUUCCGGCUGCCGGAAAUAACAUCUUUGCUCUCACUUUAUGGUGGACAGUUCAGCAGUGAGCAGGAAAUUCGUGUAAAUUCUCCGUUUUGGAUUCUCAAUAUUUCUUCGGAAGACAUGGCAAGGGGACUAAUGAAACGGACAGUAUGUGCAAAGUCUAUAUUUGAACUGUGGGGUCAUGGAAGGACUGCAGGAGAGCUCUAUGCGUCUUUGAAGAACUAUCCAAUGGACAAAAUGUUUCCAUAUCUACAAUCAGAUUCUACUUACAAAAUACGAAUACAUACGUUUAAUAAAACACUGACCCAGGCACAGAAGAUACAAAAGAUAGAUGCCCUUGAAUUUCUGCCAUUCAAAGGAAAAGUAAAUUUAAAGAAUCCAGAACACGUCUUCUGGAUUUUGGAAGACUAUGGUAUGGAUCCUAAUAAUGUUCCAGAAGAGCCUUUUCAUCUUUAUUUUGGUAGAUGGAUUGCAGACGGCCAAAGAGAACUUAUCGAGUCCUACAGUGUAAAAAAGAGACACUUUAUUGGAAAUACAAGCAUGGAUGCCUGCCUGUCUUUCAUUAUGGCAAACCACGGGAGAGUAAAACCCAAUGAUCUUGUGUAUGAUCCAUUUGUUGGAACAGGUGGCCUGCUUAUCUCCUCAGCACACUUUGGAGCAUAUGUGUGUGGUUCUGAUAUAGAUUACAACACAAUCCAUGGAUUAGGCAAGGCAACCAGAAAGAACCAGAAAUGGAGAGGGCCAGAUGAAAAUAUUAGAGCUAAUCUCCGACAGUAUGGUUUAGAGAAAUAUUACGUUGAUGCACUAGUCUCUGAUUCUUCAAGACCAAUAUGGCGAAAAGGGAUGCUGUUUGAUGCAAUCAUUACGGAUCCACCAUAUGGUAUUAGAGAAGCUACUCGCAGAACAGCUUCGCAAAAGGAAACAGUUAAGUCAGCUGAGAGAAGCGCAGAAAAUCACAUCUUCGUUUCAUCCAGUUAUCAUCUCAGUGACAUCUUUUUUGACCUCUUGAAGUUUGCGGCAGAGUAUCUGGUGAUGGGAGGAAGAUUAGUAUACUGGCUGCCAAUAUACAGGCCUGAGUAUGUAUUCUUGAUUUCUGAUAUACAGAAGAGAUCAUUCCCCGUCACCCGUGCCUGAAACUCAUUAGCAACUGUGAGCAGAUGCUUUCCAGCCACACAUCAAGGCGCCUGAUAACCAUGGAAAAGGUGAAAGAAUUCAAGCACAAGGCCACAGCUCACUAAAAGCAAUGCUAACCUUGUGUCAAGAGGGAACUUCACUGCUAGCAGCGUCCUCCUAGAGAACACAGAGUAAUCUGCUGUCCUGUGGCCAAAACACUCUGAAGUAUGGAGGUGGAAGUGUCAACUGCAUGCACGAGUGCUCAGAGAUCCCACAAAUUACUCAUGGAAAUCAGAGGUAAAUCUAGUCAACAUUUUUUUUCCACUGAAGAGCAAGUCUGAAUGUUCCACAAAACUGGUGGAUAUUGAUGCUUGGAAGAUAUUGAAGCUUGUGAAAAUCCCUAAGUGAUAAUUACUAGGUAGACUGCAUUAACUCCCUUCCAGACCUUUUUUGGGAGAGAAUUUUUUUUUGCCCAGGAGAGGAAGGUGUCUUUCCUCUGAAUGAUGCUCAAAGGCAACCUUUGGAAAAAGGCAUAAAGCAACAAAAAUAAAUUGCAGUAUUUGUUCCUAAGGUUCUUUUUAGUGUGAUCAGAAGUGUGUGCCCCCUUUCCCAUAAUUUGAUUUUUCUGUCCUUCUGUAAUAGGAAGUGCUCAGCACUAAACAAGCUUUUCUUUCAGAUAACAUGCUGCAGAAAUAUGAGAGCAAAUCACUGUUACUGUCUCUAGAUUUCUGAUGUUGACACCGUAACACGCAUUGCUCUGGGGAUUAUUCAUCAGCCUUCUACACUGUGACAUUGUGAAAAAAAAAACCCAAUUAAAAUCUUACCAGAAAACCCAAUGCUGAUGUUCAGGAUUUCCUGGUAACAGAGUAUUGAAACCCUGGAGCGGGGAGCAGAGCAACCCUGCCUGAACAGUCAUGCACUGCGCAGAGACUCAGUAUCAAAGACUGUCUGGCUUGCUGCUUACCUCUGAUGGUGAAGUAAAGCAGACCCCAAAGGACUGAGCAGGGAUUUAGGCACUUCCAGCUCUACCUCCUUAUGCAGCCUGUGGAACACCCAGUUUGAAACCCUGCCCUUGCCAGGGGUACCAAGACAGCUUAACCUACCUUCUGGGAGUAAAAGCUUAGAAAGCUUUGCAGUGGGGAGCUUCAGUCUCCCCAUUGAAGCUGCUGUCUUUGGGUUCAAGGAUUUUAAUGAUCAUCUUCAGAGCAAGCACCAGAAGAGACAAGGCUGUCUUGCCAGGCUGUGAGACCUCUCCAGAGACUGUGCAGAUCUGGACUCCACUCUCCCACUGCGCCAAAUCUUUCAGAUAGAGGCAGGAGCCAACUCCUCACCCUCCCAGGUGACUGUCACAGAUACUUCUUUGGUUCACGUAAAGCAAAAGAGAUCGCAUGUGAGGCAGUGCCCUACAGAAUGGAGGAAAUACCCUGUUUCAGAGAGGGGAGAAGAAAUUGAACUGAGCAGCUCAACAUCUUGCGAGAGGAAGGUGAAUCUAAAAAAUGUAUGCAACCAGCAUAGUGCUCAGUUUUGCAGUGUUUCAGUUCUGCCUGCAAAGCUGAACCUCUCAUCUGUGUAUCUAGGAAACAGAUAAGUUCUGGAUUUGAAAGAACUUGUCCUGAGCCAUAGGAAUAAAAACUUGUUUACAGUGCAUAAGGUAAGAUAUACUGAGCGCUGUCACUAUUAAUAGUAUGAACCGAUUUCACAACUUGCUCCUUUCUAGCUGAUGGUUCCCUGGCCCAAGCUGAGAGUCCUGGACUGUCAUGAAGGAAUUUGUUAUGCAUAACAUAUUAGCAGCAUUACUUCAGAUGAUUUCUGAUUAUAGCUCUUUUUUUGUUCCUUCCCAGUUCCUUUUUUCCCAGGUCUGUUCAUUCCCGCUCUGCUUUCCCCCUGUCUCUUCUGACUGCUCAGCUGCUGAAUUUCUGGUCUAUUUGUGUACUGCUCGAUAAUCACUGCACCCAGGUCCAGCCAUGACAUCCCAGAGAAAGGAAGGCACUGGAUCCCUGCUUGGGUGGCAUAGUGAGCAUCCCCAAGGAGAUCCCCAAGCCACUGGCUCUCCAGGCCAAGAGAUGAGAGUCAUAUUCAUAUGCCAGAGCUCCAGGCUCUGUAAGUUAGCAUUGAAACAACUAGGGGAGAUUUAUAAUAUACAUUAGCUAAGCAUCUGCUUCAGAAAAUGUGUCAGAUUUAAAGGUAUGGAAAUGUCUUGAUUAUCAAAAUUCCCCAAACUUUAACAGUCAGCGGGUUUUAUAUGUUAAUAAUAUUUGUGACAGUAGGGAGCCUAUGUGCUGAUUAAAAUAAGACUGAAAGUUAGAAUUCACCCAAAUUCCUCACCUUUACCAUUUACAAAUAAUGCUGAAUAUUGAGAUUUUCACCUUACCUGUUUUAAGAAUCUCUGCACCGGAGCCAAAAGGGAUGGGAGCAGUCUUACAUUGUCCUAUAAAUUCAGUUGCAUAAAGUAGGUGGGGUAGCUGCAUAAUUAGAUUUAUUCUAAUCUAACCUCGUAUUAUUGACAGAGUAGUGUAUAAAAAGCAUUAGGAGAAACUGAUUUAUAUAAGGUGCCGUCUAAAGCAACUGAUUUUAAUAAUUGGACAAAUACGGAGCCAAAGGCCUGGAUUUUCUGUUUAUCAGCAACUUUUUCUGCUUCAUAUGCAAAUUUGACAAUAUAAUUAGUGUUGGGACCUAGCUUGUCCUUGAGCAUGCUUGCAGAGCUGGCUGACCCCAAGGACAGGAACAAGAUACGUCUCCAAUGGCAUAAGGAGGCCUCUUCAUUUGCUGUACAUAAAUCUCAUUCUUUAAUGACUAGAAGGAGAACGUUUGAAUAUGUAAAUUAACGUUAUUCUUGGAUGUGAAGUUUUAUUAGCACACACUCUAAGUUUGUCAUCAACCUGUAUAAAUUUAUAGCAUAUGAGAGUCUAUGUGCAAUGCAUUAUCUGUUUUAAAGUGAAAACCUGUGCCAUGACUGAGGAAUCCACCCUCUGUGCACUACAUCUCAAAGAAAUCAACUCCCCAUCCUACAACAUGCUAGGAGAAAAUAAUGAUGAGCAGGACGGGUAAAAGGAUUUUUACUACAAAUAUCUAUGUACAAUUUAGGAGCAUCAGUGCAGCUGCUGUGGUAGUUUUGCUUUUAGAUUUCUGCCAGUAUAACGAGGAAAGAAAAACUACAGGACUUGUUUUUUAAUCACACCGUUGAUUUUUUUAGGCUUUGUGUUAGUGGCAUGUCAAAAUCUUUGUAGGUGGAAAUGAUGUAUUUACUGGACACAUUUGAAAGCAUUAACAAAACAAUACCAAAAUGGUUUAAAUAUGAAUUUAGUCAAAUAUAUUUUCAAGAGCAUGAUAAGUAUAAAAGAGCCACUAGCGUUUUGAUUUCAAAAUAGCUAGCUUUUGUUCUCUGUCUGAAAACACACACCAUUAUAGUUGGGUAACUUUCUCACAGAGUGGGAUGGAAAGGAGCCAUGCAAGUAUAAAAACCCUCUUGGAAUCUCGUAGGAAACAUCUGAUAAAGGAAACCCAAACUCAGACAAGUUUAGGUGAUUCUUGCUGUCGGCAGUGACAGCAGUGACACCUGUGGGGCCGGCUAAUCCCAGAAGCCAAGGAUGCAUCCCUGGAAGUGCCUGUCUCUGAGUUGCUGCAGCAGCUGAGCUGGGGCUAAAUUGGAAACAGAAAUACUGAUUGUCAUGUCACCCGAAUGCUCUGCCUCCAGCCAAAUGGUAGAUGGAAACAACCCACUACCAGAUGUUCUUAUGUUAUUAAUAUUGUUAUUAUUGUUAUUAUAAAUAAUAUUCCUUAUUGGCUGGCUUUCACUCCUGGCACAUCUGGAGCACACAUGUUUGGGAGGAGAGCGCUGGCAGCCUGUCGCUCCCCUGUUUCCCUGCACACCUGUAAAAGAGGCCAGGCAGACCCUGCUCCCUGUGUUGGAUGGUGAGGGGUGAGGGGGGCUGCCCUGUAGCCUCUCCGCUCCCCUCCUGUCGCCAUUAGUGCUAGCCUGAGCUUUGGUGGUGUCCUGGCGAUGCUGGCUGAGCGCAGCCCUUUGUGUUUUGGUUUUUUUUUUCUCAUGUUCCUCUUUCCAGCAGGACAAGAUCCUUUUGCCCACAGCCCUGUUUCGAGAGCUUUGCGUCCAGAUGCAGCCCUGGGUUUAUAUGGUGAGAACAAGUCCUGCUGCUAUUCCUCUUGCUGGACAUUUUGCUGUUGGAGAGCCUGACAUGACAUUUCCAUCAUCUGAAGCACCUCUGGCCAGGUAAACAGGAUGCUAGGUGCCAAUGAAGAGGAAGUUAGAUGGCUAAACCUCCCUAUCUAACAUUAGACUAGAAACUCAAAAAAUAUUUCUAUGUAAUUGCUCCCACUUCACGUCACCAAAAAAUGGACUGAUUUUGGAGGUGAAAAUGGAGAGUAUGGCAUCACUCCAGUGUGGGUCUCAUCAUAAACUUCAACAAAUUCUGUGUCUUAAGGAUGUGCCAACUACCAGGCACUGCUUACUGUGAGCAUCAAACCAUUGCUGGAGUGGAAAUGAUGCCAUUAUACCCAUUUAGGCCAACUGCCUUGGAAUACAGGAAUGAGCAAAAUAAAUACUGGAGGAAGUUGUGACUGACGGUGGUUCACUUAAAAAUAUUAAAACGCUAGGAUACUAUUAAGCAUGGGAUACCAGUAUAUAUCUCUAAGCUGAGGGAGUACAGCUCUGGUAUUAAUAGAUGGAGCUUUGUAAAUGAACAUCUGUGGUCGAACUAACUGUUGUAAUAAGACAGUGUAUUUUUAAUUAUUACGUUGUCGUGACAUACAGAAUGGGUAGAGCACUUUACAUGUACAUGGGAAGAUGCUGUGCCUGCUGCUAGAGGUUUACAAUCAAUAAAAAAUGAAGUACAACCCGGUUUGCCUGGGAUGCACUGUAUGCUGUUUGCGAAGGGGAGCGCUGCUGCUCAGGCAGCUGAGAGCCUGGCAGGGCUCUCAGUACCACAAUAUGGGUCCCACCGGGGAAGCAUAGACUCACCCGUAGACCUUGCUAGAAACAGGAGAGGUGCCCAGGGCAGGUGCUGAAAAAGGAAAAUGCCUGUGGUGGUUAGAGAACCUCUUCCCAGAGACAAACUUGGGUGGGGGACACCCUGGCCAAAGCAACCAGCUGCAUUCUGGGUGACAUCUCAGUUGUGCUGCACACAGGAGCUAGCUGCAAUCAUAACAAACCACAUCAUCACAGCUGACUUCAGUUGCUGAGGGCCUCUGUUAGAGAAAUUCCUUUGCUAAUGAUUUCAGUAACGUUCAUCUUUUUUUAAUCUACACUUUGGGGUAGGCUCACCCACCGCUAUGAGAUUCCCAUGCAACCAAGUUUUCUGGAGGCUGUCUUCUUUUCUAGCUGAAAGUUAUGUCCAGGCAGAAUAGAAGGAUUUUACAUGCUGGCAUGGGGUUUUCCAGUUUGUGACUAUGUGUUUGGGCUUCUGGAAAUGCAGCAGCCAUAGGGAACAGGCUGGGGUCAUGCACAGCCCCUCCACACACACCAGGAACUUCCCAGGCAGGUCACACAGACACUGCCAGCCUGAAGCCCUCCUGGGAACAGGGGGUGCCCUUGCAGGUCUACAGCUGCAGACUGAGCCCCUCAUUCCUGUACAGACUAGUUUGACAUUUCUUCUCCUUCCCCUCCUCUUUUUCCUUUUGCACCUCUGGGGAACAGAAUCAACGAAGUAUAUAUUGGUGGAAGUGGCUUUUUCAGACAUGUCGCAUUCCCCCUAACGCACUGCUGGAAAACAAAACCAGUGCUAGUCUGAAGCCAUAAAGAAACAGCAGGAAUCCUUUUCUCUAUUAAAUCAACAAAGUAUUGCCAUUGAUGUGAAUAAGUCACAGACUUCAUGCUUGCCACCUGAGAGACAUUCACUCAUCCUAUGGAAAAGAGAAGCAAUUAGGCUACAUCAUGGGCAAAUGAAGAGGGAAGGGUGUUUGUUCCUCUCUUUCUUUCCCUGCUCUUUUAGAACCCAGUAGUUUUCUGCUCCAAGUGGAAAAUAAGGAUCAUUACUGUAUUCAGCCUUGGUCUUUUUUUUUUGUUAGAUGCUUAUAAAUCUUGCUAAUUAGCUGUAGAAAUCAUAAAAGCUCAGCAUCAUGUUUUAAUCAUAAACUCCUCAGGCCACUGAUGUUCAUGUUGUUCCCUGGAUCCUCAUUUCCAUGUACAAAUUACUGAGCCCAUAACACUUUGGCAGCUCAUCUCUCGUGCCAAUGAUAUUUCCAACAGAAUUAUUAUUUCAGUAACUAAGCCACAAGUCUACACCUGCAAAAAAUAAAAAUAAGAGAAUAACACAGCAGUGGAAGCCGUCCCCCCUGGCCCGCCCUUGUACUGAUGGAAUAUUAAAGCUUCUUCAAAGUAAUUAAACACAGUUGCAAGUAUAAAGUCUGGCUGACAGAUCAGUAAAACCAUUUUCUCUUUCCCAAGAAUUUAAAGAAAAGUUCCCUAGUCAGCAGCUGAGGAGGGCAGGAAACUGUAAGCACCACACUUAGACACUAAUGCUAACAUGCUGAGAAUUUCUGAGGCAGUACAACAGGUCCAAGGCAUCAUGGACACAGCUGCGGAAUCAAACCUCAGUUGAAUUCUUAUCCAAAUCACCAUAAACGAGGUCAGCAUCUGCUAAGACACUGGAUAAUAAUAGCUUGCUUAAUUACACAUUUUGCCUGUAAUUUCGUCCAGACCAACUUUCCUAGUGGCAGAGAAGGAUGAUAUUUUCCAGUUCUUUUAUGUUGCUGUGAUUAGUGGAUAAUGCCUUUGGUGUAUGUGCGUGCAUCUAAUUUUCACUUUCAACUUUAAUGCAAUUUAACAUUGUCAAAAUAAAUAUUAUUCUUCACUUUUCCAAAUUUGGUUUCAGCACUUGUAAAGUAAAUAUUUUGCUUUAGAAUGUGGAAAGCCUGCGCCUGCUUACUGAUGCUCUCUCUGAGGGGGAGACAGAUCCUGUCGCUCUAUCACGGCAGCUCAGGGUCUCCUGGCAGCCAAGGAUUCUUCUUUCAGAGAGGACAAAGCCUUUCUAACCUGUGGCAGAGGAGCAGAGUGGGCAGCCAGGGAUACCUGUUUUGGUCACUUCUGGCAAAUUUGCCUUA